UACGUAGGGUGCGAGCGUUGUCCGGAAUUAUUGGGCGUAAAGGGCUCGUAGGCGGUCUGUCGCGUCGAAAGUGAAAACCCAGGGCUUAACCCUGGGCCUGCUUCCGAUACGGGCAGACUAGAGGUAUGCAGGGGAGAACGGAAUUCCUGGUGUAGCGGUGAAAUGCGCAGAUAUCAGGAGGAACACCGGUGGCGAAGGCGGUUCUCUGGGACGGUACUGACGCUGAGACGCGAAAGCGUGGGGAGCGAACAGG
rnacentral:rRNA from 1 species